GACGAACGCUGGCGGCGCGCCUAACACAUGCAAGUCGAACGAGCGAGAGGAGGUUUACUUUCUCAAGCGAGUGGCGAACGGGUGAGUAACGCGUGAGGAACCUGCCUCAAAGAGGGGGACAACAGUUGGAAACGACUGCUAAUACCGCAUAAGCCCACGACCCGGCAUCGGGUAGAGGGAAAAGGAGCAAUCCGCUUUGAGAUGGCCUCGCGUCCGAUUAGCUAGUUGGUGAGGUAAUGGCCCACCAAGGCGACGAUCGGUAGCCGGACUGAGAGGUUGAACGGCCACAUUGGGACUGAGACACGGCCCAGACUCCUACGGGAAGCAGCAGUGGGGAAUAUUGCACAAUGGGGGAAACCCUGAUGCAGCGACGCCGCGUGGAGGAAGAAGGUCUUCGGAUUGUAAACUCCUGUUGUUGAGGAAGAUAAUGACGGUACUCAACAAGGAAGUGACGGCUAACUACGUG
rnacentral:rRNA from 1 species